AGGGAAGCCCAGGAAUACUGGCGUGGGUAGCCUAUCCCUUCUGCAGCAGAUCUUCCUGACCCAGGAGUCGAACCGGGGUCUCCUGCAUUGCUGGUGGAUGUUUUACCGACUGAGCUAGGAGGGAAGCCAGACAAUAAAAGCGGCAGACAUCUGGAGGUAGAGAUAACAGGUGAUGAGCAAGUGUACAUCUGAAGCAUCACCUGUCCCUCAGCUCAGGUCAGACCUCUCCUCCCUCAGUGCCUGUUUCCUGGCCUGCAAAACCAGGACAAUGUUAAAUCACUUCACUUAUUCCCUCGAUGAAUGAGCAGAGAGUCAGGAUCUAGUGUAUCCCAGAGACUGGGGCCAAGAGCUGGGAAAACAAAAUACUACAGCCCUUCAACUAAAAGCACCUGUGCCUCCCUAUUGAGCCAUCUUCUGAGCUUACAGAGGGCCUUCACGUCUGACCCCACCCAGCCCAGGAGGGAGGAAACCUCCAGAUGAAAACUCCAAGGAUGCGGGGCUUCAGUGCUCUGUCCACAGCUCCAUAACCGCUCAUGGCUGGACCGGGCUGUGGAAUUGGGUCUCCAAGGCGCGUAGUUACAGUGAGAAGACGGCCAUCUGUGAGGAAGUGGGUUCUCACCAGACACCCAACCUGUGGCACCUUGACCUUGGACUUCCAUCCUGCUCAUCGGAACCUGUGUCCUUGGAGAACUGAGCUUCCAUGCGUGAAAUCCCACUCUCCUAAGAUGACAUCCCCAAGAGACCAUGUGGCGAGCUCUGGACGGCAGCCCCUGCCACGCCCAUGCUUCAGAGAGACACCUGGUAGGUGAGCCAAGAAGCCUUCUGGCCUCCAGAGUCCAGCCAUGGACGUCUCCCCAGGAACCACAGAGCCAAGGAGGCCUGUGCCCGUCUGCAUUGCCCGCCCACCAUUUCCAUGACAUCACGUGGUCAUUGCUUUACAUCCUGCAGUGUCAACAGAGUUGUUCUGCAGCAAUGAAUCAAUCCCAAAAAAGCCGGGCCUGCGCUAAGGACACUGGUCACACUGGUCUGGCCCCAGGUGCUAAGGAUGACUCUCCAGGGCAAGGCAGGAGAAAGUGGCUUGAGUGCCAGUCAUCCCAGCACCAGGAGAGACCUGCGGGGAACUUGGAAGCUCUGCGGCCAAGGAAGUGAGGCUACGGGAGAGGAGGGACAGCUCAGAGGACACUCCGAGUCCUGGCAGUGGCGAAAUUAGCGCUCCCUUGGCAGGCAAGGCUUCUGAUGGUGUUCUACAGCCCACUCCUCUGGCCUGUCCACGGAUCUUGGAAGCACGCUGCCCCCAGUAUUAAAUCCUUUUUUUUUUUUUGGCAGAUGAAAGCCAGAGCAGUGUCUGAUACCUGCAACUUAAUCUGCCUGAGGCAGAGUCCACUCACCCUGCUUAGAUUACCGGUCAAACCUGAUGCUGAUCCAUUUCAGAGACCGCAUCCCAGCCUUUUCACUGAUUCUCUGCGCUCCCCAGAACCCUUCCAGUAAAUGCCCUUUGCUUUGCCAAAAUUGCUUUCUGUUGCUUGCAACCAGAAAACCCCAACCAAAACAAAAGUUGCAAAUUACAAGGAUAUGUUCUAUUUAAUCCCAUGUUUGAAGAACUCACUUUUCAGAUGAUCAACAGUGUAGAAAAGAAUGAUGAUUUCCAUAGGAUGGAAAGAUGUAAUUAGGAUUUUUUUUUUUUUUUUUUUUUGGUCUUUAGGAGUGGCUUUUUUGUAUUGAAAAGAACAUUCAGGAGCUACUUUGAUAUUUAAAGUUAAUACUUAAAUAAUUCAAAGCCUUGGUUUUCUUGAAGUUUUUAAGUUCAAUUUAGAAAUAAGUUCUAUUUAUAAAUCUUUCAAAUUUUCACAAAUGAUUUUAAGAAGAUUUUCAUAAUUUAAUUGAAUUCUUUUAAAUAUUUUUAGCUGCACUGAUAAAGCCAGCACACUCAAUUUCCUUUUUAAAGUAAGUCAGUGGCUGGCAAAGCGAACAACUUUUCCAAGUACCUAAGAAAUUCUUACAAAUCUAAUAAAAUUUAUUGAGAUGAUGAUUAAA